rnacentral:rRNA from 1 species
GACGAACGCUGGCGGCGUGCUUAACACAUGCAAGUCGAACGGAGUGGCGAACGGGUGCGUAACACGUGGGUGAUCUGCCUUGCACUCUGGGUUAAGCUUGGGAAACUGUGUCUAAUACCGGAUAUUGCAAGGUGAGCUCGCGGCCUAUCAGCUUGUUGGUGGGGUAAUGGCCUACCAAGGCGUCGACGGGUAGCCGGCCUGAGAGGUUGUACGGCCACAUUGGGACUGAGAUACGGCCCAGACUCCUACGGGAGGCAGCAGGGGGGAAUAUUGCACAAUGGGCGGAAGCCUGAUGCAGCGACGCCGCGUGGGGGAUGACGGCCUUCGGGUUGUAAACUCCUUUCGACAGGGACGCGGUACCUGUAUAAGAAGCACCGGCUAACUACGUGCCAGCCGCUGCGGUAAUAC